CUUUAACAUCAAAUGCUGAGGGCAGCCGUUGAUGCUUCGCCGUGUUCUAUUACUCUUGAUAAUUCAGACCAAAGAACUAGAAGGGGCAGUGGGAGGUCACCAUGGGAAGGCUGCUUGAACUGCAGGCCAGCAGUCUGGAUGUCCUCAUGGUGCUAAUCGGCCACUGCAGUCUGAAUGUUGUCAUUGUGUCUGCUGAGGCAGAAUACCUGGGAUGAAGGAGCUCCUCAGAAUUCCCUCACCCCUAUGGCCCUUCUGUCACCCCUGGCACUCCCUCACGAGUGAUGGCACAGAACAAGUCAAAGUACUGGAGUCACAACCCCAGCAGCAUAGGGAGGACAAGGCAACUAGAGGCGGGCAGGUAAAACGCUCAGUGAGACGUCUGUGUUUGUUUUACGAGGGGCGCUGAGACCGCCCGCUGAUGCUGAGAGCUCUGUUUGGAGGAGAAAAGUGAGGGGUCGGGUCAUCAGCGUGCAGUAGCGUCCAGCAUGUGGCAGCAGACAGCGGGAGACUCAGCACCCAUGUGGACUUCACAUCAGUGGCAGAAAAAAGAUGAGUCAGGAGGACAGCGCAGCGGCCUACUCCAAACUUACUUAAGGUAAUUAAAGUUGAGAAAGGUUACGGUUUGAUGCUGAACCAAGAAGAAAGGCCUUUCUUCUGGGCAUGGGCCAUGAAGGACCAUCUCGUCAAAGCGGCUACGUAGUGAAACACUGUGUGUUUUUGGUAAGCAGAGAGGACACAGGAAGGCCUCAGAUGCUGAGCGAAUAAAGAGGUUGGCCUUGGUGAUUCAGUUAGAAAACCAGCCCUUUUUUAUGUAACUGAGAAAUACAGAAUAUCAAAUGUGAUCCUGAUUAGCUCAGUGGUAAAGCAUUGCAUUUGCAGAACAGAAUGUCAUGGGUUCAAACCCAGGGAACACACAGUGCAUUUCAAGCUGCACAUUUUAUCAGUAUGUAAGUUGCUUUGGAUAAAAGCAUCUGCCAAAUGCAUAAAUACAUAAAUGUGUCCUGAAAGCAGACUCUGAAAUGUUGUCCACGUGGUCUACUGUGAAACGCCACCUGAUGCUGAAAAUAGCCUGCUAUCAACAUCAAUAAAGCCAGACAGGGCUGAAAGCAAUGUGUUUACAGUUCAUGCGGGAACCUGUGAAAGUUUGUAGCGAAUAUAAUUAACUAUAACUGCAUUUUUUACAUUGUAUAAAGAAUAUGCAGGUUAUACUUUCCUAUGAAUUCAUUACCAUGAUGCGUGGGCAUUGCUUAAUGUAAUUGACUAAGCUAAAUGUUUGAUCAAAUGUAGCUAGAUUUU